AAUGAACGUUGGCGGCGUGGAUUAGGCAUGCAAGUCGAGCGAGAACCCGCAAGGGGGACAGCGGCAAACGGGGUAGGAAUGAUUGGUGACGUACCCUCGGGACGGGGAUAGCCACGGGAAACUGUGGGUAAUACCCGAUAAUCUCCCAGGUUUGAAGACCUGGGUGCAAAGGUGUGAUUCCACCGGAGGAGCGGCCAAUCUGGUAUUAGCUAGUUGGUAGGGUAACGGCCUACCAAGGCUACGAUGCCUAGGGGGUGUGAGAGCAUGGCCCCCACCGCUGGGACUGAGAUACUGCCCAGACACCUACGGGUGGCUGCAGUCGAGAAUCUUCGGCAAUGGGCGAAAGCCUGACCGAGCGACGCCGCGUGCGGGAUGAAGGCCUUCGGGUUGUAAACCGCUGUCAGAGGGGAUGAAGUUAUAGGAGGUUCUCCUUCUAUAUUGACAGAGCCUCAGAGGAAGCACGGGCUAAGUAUGUGCCAGCCGCCGCCGUAAGAC
rnacentral:rRNA from 1 species